CUGCUGAUACAGUUCUACAGAGGAAUUAUUGAGUCUCUGUCAUCUCCACCUCUAUAACUGUCGGGUUUGGGUCUGCAACCAAACAAGACAGACACAGACUUCAACUGAUAAUUAGAACUGCAGAA